rnacentral:rRNA from 1 species
UGUAAGCGUAUACCAAAGUUGUUGCAGUUAAAACGCUCGUAGUCGGAAUUUGGCAGUUCCGGAUGUGUGCACGUCGUGUGCGCACUUCGCGGGGAUUGCUUUUGUGGUCUUGCGUAGGAUGAGGCACUUUUAUUAGUGAACGUCCUCACGCAACCACUUUUUACUGUGAGAAAAUCAGAGUGCUCAAAGCAGGCAUUUGCCGUGAAUGUAUUAGCAUGGAAUAAUAGAAUAGGACUUGGUUCUAUUUUGUUGGUUUGUUGGGACUGAGUAAUGAUUAAGAGGGACAGUUGGGGGCAUUUGUAUUUCGGUGCUAGAGGUGAAAUUCUUAGAUUACCGAAAGACAAACUGCUGCGAAAGCGUCUGCCAAGGAUGUUUUCGUUGA